ensembl:lncRNA
ACGGGCAGUCCUGGUGGGGAAGCCUCGGCAGUUAUCACGUCCAGCAGACAGACUUGGCCAGUCACCCUGUCACCACGUGAUCAAUCAGCCGGGGCGUAAGGCAGGCGUAAGCCCUGUCCUUGGGACCGGGUGGUUGAAGAAACAGCUCAGAAUCAUACAAGAAGGAACCUGUCCCAGCCUAGCGUGCUGUGUGAUACACAAACAUCUUCAACAGCUGAGCGAGGCAAAUAAGACUAUAUGACUUGCAGCGUGCAUUUUUACAGCAAGGAUGGUACAACUCUUUCACCGUGUAACAUAACACUGGAAAAGUGUUGGCCCCUAUAGCUUCUUGUGAAAUAGAAGCAGCAAAUCAUUUAAUACAGGCAAGAACAUCUAAAAGGCUUUUUUAAAGGGCCAGAUUAUGGAACCGCUCCUCACUGUUACCACCAAUACUACGUGUGCCAGUUCAAGACUUGUGCCCAACUUUGGUGCCCAUAUGUACAGACGGAUGGACCCAGUUUAUCUACAGUUGCACACGUGGCCCCAAAAGAGGCCACAGCCUUUUUCAAUCUUGUUCAGCCUUGGGGUCGGGGAAACAAACCUGACAUUGACAUGGGCGUUGACUUUUCCCUUGGUGCCUAAACAAGAAUGACACGUGCCUUUCCCUCCCUACCUUUUAUACUUCAUCCCUCACUCCCUUUCUUCCCAGCUUGCUCUUUCUACUGCAUCAGGUUAAUAGAGUGUUAUUUCCAUGAAAGCAAACCUGCUAAAAGCUUCAAAAAUCUUGCAAGAAAUUGUUAUUGUGAUUCAAUCUUUCAAAUUUUGCCAUGUUAAUAAUCUCUUUAGACUCAUAAAGAGCUUAUUGGAACCAACAUUGGAAUUAAUUGAAUUUGUAGCCUCACCAAACAGAGCCGGCGACUCUAUUAUUAGUAUUAAGAUAAUUAUGGUAGGUUUUGAUAUUUUUGCAUUCUUUAUAUUAAAGG